rnacentral:rRNA from 1 species
GUCCUUACGGGUAUUUAUGUAAGGUCUGACCUGCCCAAUGACUUUUAGUUUAAUGGCCGCGGUAUAUUGACUGUGCGAAGGUAGCAUAAUAAUUAGUUUUUUAAUUGAGGGCUAGAAUGAACGGUCGAACAAAAAACUAGCUGUCUCUGGAUUACAUCUUGAAUUUAACAUUUAAGUGAAAAGGCUUAGAUAUGUUAGGGGGACGAUAAGACCCUAUAAAUCUUUAUAUUUUAGAGUGAGUUAGUUGAGGAAAUAUGAUAGAGUGCUUAGUUAAUGGUUUGAAAUAUUUUGUUGGGGUGACAGAGGUAUAAGACUAACUGCCUUAGAUUUAUGGUUAGUGAUAUUUAUUUGGGUGAUCCUUUAUUAUGGAUUAUUAGAUUAAGUUACUUUAGGGAUAACAGCGUAAUUUUUUUUGAGAGUUCAUAUCGAAAAUUAAGUUUGCGACCUCGAUGUUGAAUUAAAGGCCCUCCUAUGGUGUAGGCGUUAUAAGAGGAGGUCCUGUUCGACCUUAAAUCUU